GGGGGCAAGCGUUUAUCCGGAUUUUACUGGGGGUAAAAGGGAGCGUAGAACGGCGAUGCAAAGUUGAGUGUAAAAAACCGGAGGCCCCAACUGGGGGACUGCACCCCAAAACUGCAUGGCUGGAGUACUGGAGGGGCAGGCCGGAUUCCUGGUGUAGCGGUGAAAUGCGCAGAUAUCAGGAAGAACACCGGUGGCGAAGGCGGCCUUCUGGGCCACGACUGACGCUGAGGCGCGAAAGCUAGGGGAGCGAACAGGAUUAGAUACCCUGGUAGUCCACGCCGUAAACGAUGGAUACUAGGUGUGGGGGGACUGACCCCCUCCGUGCCGCAGUAAACACAAUAAGUAUCCCACCUGGGGAGUACGACCGCAAGGUUGAAACUCAAAGGAAUUGACGGGGGCCCGCACAAGCAGUGGAUUAUGUGGUUUAAUUCGACGCAACGCGAAGAACCUUACCGGGAUUUGACAUCCUGCUAACGAAGUAGAGAUACAUCAGGUGCCCUUCGGGGAAAGCAGAGACAGGUGGUGCAUGGUUGUCGUCAGCUCGUGUCGUGAGAUGUUGGGUUAAGUCCCGCAACGAGCGCAACCCUUAUUGUUAGUUGCUACGCAAGAGCACUCUAGCGAGACUGCCGUUGACAAAACGGAGGAAGGCGGGGACGACGUCAAAUCAUCAUGCCCCUUAUGUCCCGGGCUACACACGUAAUACAAUGGCGUUAAGCAGAGGGAAGCAAAGCCGCGAGGCAGAGCAAAACCCUAAAAGGCGUCUCAGUUCGGAUCGCAGUCUGCAACUCGACUGCGUGAAGUUGGAAUUGCUAGUAAUCGCGGAUCAGCAUGCCGCGGUGAAUACGUUCCCGGGCC
rnacentral:rRNA from 1 species